rnacentral:tRNA from 1 species
GAUCCACUAGCUCAGCCGGUAGAGCACAUGACUUUUAAUCAUGGUGUCCGGAGUUCGAUUCUCAGGUGGAUCACCA